GAUGACCGCUGGCGGCGUGCCUAAUACAUGCAAGUCGAGCGAACAGAUGAGGAGCUUGCUCCUCUGACGUUAGCGGCGGACGGGUGAGUAACACGUGGAUAACCUACCUAUAAGACUGGGAUAACUUCGGGAAACCGGGGCCAAUACCGGAUAAUAUAUUGAACCGCAUGGUUCAAUAGUGAAAGACGGUUUUGCUGUCACUUAUAGAUGGAUCCGCGCCGCAUUAGCUAGUUGGUAAGGUAACGGCUUACCAAGGCAACGAUGCGUAGCCGACCAAAGAGGCUGACCUGCCUCACUAGACCCGAGACACGGUCGAGAGGCCCACGGGAGCCAGCAGUCGGGAAUCUCCUCCGAUGAGCGAAAGCCUGACGGAGCAACGCCGCGUGGGGGACGAUGGUCUUCGGAUCGUAAAGCUCUGGUAUUAGGGACGAACAAAUGUGUAAGUAACUAUGCACGUCGUGACGGUACCUACUCAGAGAGCCACGGCGAGCCACGUG
rnacentral:rRNA from 1 species